CUGGCCAACACUUGUGUACAACAACCACUCAUACAUUAUCAUUAAACUCAGGAAGGGUAAGAAAAGCCCAAGAAGGGCAACAACUCUUUGGUAAAUGGUAAUCCCAGGCUAUAGAACAAAAAUGGCAAUCUUCCUCCUCGUUCUUUUCAGUAAACAUGAAAAACUUGACUAGUAAUUCCGAGAAAUGCCACCAACAAUAUCAAGACAGAUUCCCCCUACGACUUGGGAAUCUGUCUACUAAGACUUGGGAACAGUCACAUUAAGGAUUUUCACGUCUUGGUAUGGCUUGUCUGCCUUGUCUGUCU
rnacentral:misc_RNA from 1 species